AUUUUCUGUAAGCAGACAAUAAUUUAACAUUUAAGGAAGGAGUCUCCAGUGUCAGUCAGUGUUAGAGUCCACAAUAUUAAAGGUUAUUAUAAACAGAUAAAAGGUAUGACAUUUUGUUCUUUGGUAAAUAAACAUUUUAAUCGUUGGCAAAUUUCUGUGGUAUAAGAGGAAUAAAGCACUGCGGGUUGUACUGUUAGUAGAAAACCAAGUUCGGGUGGUGGCUGGAUGAUUAUUUUCCUAAAACAUCCGGUUAUGUUUUUUUUUAUUAUAACAUACUGUGUUAUAAAAGAAAAACUCCUUGUUGAUCCUAUGUGAUGUUUCUGAAAUCCAUAGUCACUAGUCCAUACAGUGACUAAUUAUUGCUAACACAUAUUUUAUCUUGUUCCUCUCAGUGUCACAGCUCAGUCAGAUCAGAACUCAAAUUCCCAAAAUGCAACACUCACUUCUCAAGCACGCAUGCGCUCACCAUCCCCGGAGUUCUGAGCAGACACACCUGUCACCAAUCACACACACACACACACACUCACUGCUAGUACUUAGGGAUGUCAUUCACCCAGAAUCUAUGCGAAAUAUACGUUCAGUCAACUCGUUUCUCUGCGUUACCAAGCCGGUCUAGUUAGUUUGUCUUCUCGUGAUCCUCGACCCUUGUUUCCGGUUUCGACUGCGCUCUCUGCCUGACCCCGUUUGUGUUGUUCGUCCGAUCGCUUGACAUUUGCCUGUCUUACGACUACGUUUCUUGUAUUUCCCGAUACGACGCUCUACACCUGCUGCCCGCUCCUGCUUCCGUGCCGAUUCGAGUUACAGUGAGAGUAAAUCACUUACCUGUCAGCUGGAAGGUUGGAUGGAUCCUCCAGGCUCAUUACGUGGCUGGUACUUAUUUUGUUCAUUGGUACACCAUAGUUCAAUGCUACAGUCUUUAACAUUUCCUCAUGCUGCAGAUCAACACCUAUGUUAUAGAUAUGUAGAUAUAACACAGAUUUGUUAUAGGUUGCAGUGUUAAGGUGUUCCUGGUUGCCAGUGUUUAUACUGCUGUAAUAAGAAGUUCGAAAUUAAUACUUAGACUGAUGAACUGCUUCCAGUCUAGAACGUCUGUCCUGGUUAGUAUGUUCCUGAGACAUGAUUCGUCCUUAGUAAAAAUGAUCACAUCAUUAAAAAAGUCUGGUUUCUGUGUAUAUGAGAGAAACAGGUCAACUAUUAAAACUGAGAUAUAUUGUUA